rnacentral:rRNA from 1 species
AGGCUUAACACAUGCAAGUCGAGGGGCAGCAUGGUCUUAGCUUGCUAAGGCCGAUGGCGACCGGCGCACGGGUGAGUAACACGUAUCCAACCUGCCGUCUACUCUUGGACAGCCUUCUGAAAGGAAGAUUAAUACAAGAUGGCAUCAUGAGUCCGCAUGUUCACAUGAUUAAAGGUAUUCCGGUAGACGAUGGGGAUGCGUUCCAUUAGAUAGUAGGCGGGGUAACGGCCCACCUAGUCUUCGAUGGAUAGGGGUUCUGAGAGGAAGGUCCCCCACAUUGGAACUGAGACACGGUCCAAACUCCUACGGGAGGCAGCAGUGAGGAAUAUUGGUCAAUGGGCGAGAGCCUGAACCAGCCAAGUAGCGUGAAGGAUGACUGCCCUAUGGGUUGUAAACUUCUUUUAUAAAGGAAUAAAGUCGGGUAUGGAUACCCGUUUGCAUGUACUUUAUGAAUAAGGAUCGGCUAACUCCGUGCCAGCAGCCGCGGUAAUACGGAGGAUCCGAGCGUUAUCCGGAUUUAUUGGGUUUAAAGGGAGCGUAGAUGGAUGUUUAAGUCAGUUGUGAAAGUUUGCGGCUCAACCGUAAAAUUGCAGUUGAUACUGGAUAUCUUGAGUGCAGUUGAGGCAGGCGGAAUUCGUGGUGUAGCGGUGAAAUGCUUAGAUAUCACGAAGAACUCCGAUUGCGAAGGCAGCCUGCUAAGCUGCAACUGACAUUGAGGCUCGAAAGUGUGGGUAUCAAACAGGAUUAGAUACCCUGGUAGUCCACACGGUAAACGAUGAAUACUCGCUGUUUGCGAUAUACUGCAAGCGGCCAAGCGAAAGCGUUAAGUAUUCCACCUGGGGAGUACGCCGGCAACGGCGAAACUCAAAGGAAUUGACGGGGGCCCGCACAAGCGGAGGAACAUGUGGUUUAAUUCGAUGAUACGCGAGGAACCUUACCCGGGCUUAAAUUGCAGAUGAAUUACGGUGAAAGCCGUAAGCCGCAAGGCAUCUGUGAAGGUGCUGCAUGGUUGUCGUCAGCUCGUGCCGUGAGGUGUCGGCUUAAGUGCCAUAACGAGCGCAACCCUUGUUGUCAGUUACUAACAGGUUCCGCUGAGGACUCUGACAAGACUGCCAUCGUAAGAUGUGAGGAAGGUGGGGAUGACGUCAAAUCAGCACGGCCCUUACGUCCGGGGCUACACACGUGUUACAAUGGGGGGUACAGAGGGCCGCUACCACGCGAGUGGAUGCCAAUCCCCAAAACCUCUCUCAGUUCGGACUGGAGUCUGCAACCCGACUCCACGAAGCUGGAUUCGCUAGUAAUCGCGCAUCAGCCACGGCGCGGUGAAUACGUUCCCGGGCCUUGUACACACCGCCCGUCAAGCCAUGGGAGCCGGGGGUACCUGAAGUGCGUAACCGCGAGGAGCGCCCUAGGGUAAAACUGGUGACUGGGGCU